rnacentral:tRNA from 1 species
AGGGCAGUAGCUCGAAUUGGUUAGAGCGGCUGAUUCCAAAUCAGCAGGUUCGGGGUUCGAAUCCCUGCUGCCCUGCCA